rnacentral:rRNA from 1 species
GACGAACGCUGGCGGCGUGCUUAACACAUGCAAGUCGAACGGACAGGCCCUGCUUUUGUGGGGUGCUCGAGUGGCGAACGGGUGAGUAACACGUGAGUAACCUGCCCUUGACUUUGGGAUAACUUCAGGAAACUGGGGCUAAUACCGGAUAGGAGCUCCUGCUGCAUGGUGGGGGUUGGAAAGUUUCGGCGGUUGGGGAUGGACUCGCGGCUUAUCGGCUUGUUGGUGAGGUAGUGGCUUACCAAGGUUUUGACGGGUAGCCGGCCUGAGAGGGUGACCGGCCACAUUGGGACUGAGAUACGGCCCAGACUCCUACGGGAGGCAGCGGUGGGGAAUAUUGCGCAAUGGGCGGAAGCCUGAUGCAGCAACGCCGCGUGCGGGAUAACGGCCUUCGGGUUGUAAACCGCUUUCGCCUGUGACGAAGCGUGAGUGACGGUAAUGGGUAAAGAAGCAACGGCUAACUACGUG